rnacentral:rRNA from 1 species
AACGAACGCUGGCGGCAGGCCUAACACAUGCAUGUCGAGCGAGGACUUCGGUCCUAGCGGCGGACGGGUGAGUAACGCGUGGGAACGUGCCCUUUGCUACGGAAUAGCCCCGGGAAACUGGGCGUCAUACCGUAUGUGCCCGAGAGGGGAAAGAUUUAUCGGCAAAGGAUCGGCCCGCGUUGGAUUAGGUAGUUGGUGGGGUAAUGGCCUACCAAGCCGACGAUCCAUAGCUGGGUUGAGAGGAUGAUCAGCCACACUGGGACUGAGACACGGCCCAGACUCCUACGGAGACCAGCAGUGGAGAAUCUUAAACAAUGGGGGAAACCCUGGUCUAGCCAUGCCGCGUGAGCGAUGAAGGCCUUAGGGUUGUAAAGCUCUUUCAGUGGGGAAGAUAAUGACGGUACCCACAGAAGAAGCCCCGGCUAACUCCGUGCCGGCAGCCGCCGUAACAC